rnacentral:rRNA from 1 species
CUACCAUGCAGUCGANGAAGAGCGAUGGAAGCUUGCUUCUAUCAAUCUUAGUGGCGAACGGGUGAGUAACGCGUAAUCAACCUGCCCUUCAGAGGGGGACAACAGUUGGAAACGACUGCUAAUACCGCAUACGAUCCAAUCUCGGCAUCGAGGAUGGAUGAAAGGUGGCCUCUAUUUAUAAGCUAUCACUGAAGGAGGGGAUUGCGUCUGAUUAGCUAGUUGGAGGGGUAACGGCCCACCAAGGCAAUGAUCAGUAGCCGGUCUGAGAGGAUGAACGGCCACAUUGGGACUGAGACACGGCCCAGACUCCUACGGGAGGCAGCAGUGGGGAAUCUUCCGCAAUGGACGAAAGUCUGACGGAGCAACGCCGCGUGAGUGAUGACGGCCUUCGGGUUGUAAAGCUCUGUUAAUCGGGACGAAAGGUCUCCUUGCGAAUAGUUAGAAGAAUUGACGGUACCGGAAUAGAAAGCCACGGCUAACUACGUGCCAGCAGCCGCGGUAAUACGUAGGUGGCAAGCGUUGUCCGGAAUUAUUGGGCGUAAAGCGCGCGCAGGCGGAUCGNUCAGUCUGUCUUAAAAGUUCGGGGCUUAACCCCGUGAUGGGAUGGAAACUGCUGAUCUAGAGUAUCGGAGAGGAAAGUGGAAUUCCUAGUGUAGCGGUGAAAUGCGUAGAUAUUAGGAAGAACACCAGUGGCGAAGGCGACUUUCUGGACGAAAACUGACGCUGAGGCGCGAAAGCCAGGGGAGCGAACGGGAUUAGAUAC